GAUGAAGAACGUAGCGAAAUGCGAUACGUAAUGUGAAUUGCAGAAUUCAGUGAAUCAUCGAGUCUUUGAACGCACAUUGCGCCCCCUGGUAUUCCGGGGGGCAUGCCUGUCCGAGCGUCAUUUCAACCCUCAAGCCCCCGGGCUUGGUGUUGGGGAUCGGCGAGCCUCCGCGCCCGCCGUCCCCUAAAUCUAGUGGCGGUCUCGCUGUAGCUUCCUCUGCGUAGUAGCACACCUCGCACUGGGAAACAGCGCGGCCACGCCGUUAAACCCCCAACUUCUGAACGUUUGACCUCGGAUCAGGUAGGAAUACCCGCUGAACUUAAGCAUAUCAAUAAGCGGAGGA
rnacentral:misc_RNA from 1 species